CUGAUACAGCACUGGAACAGGCUGCUUAAAGGUUGUGAAGUCUCCUUCUUUGGUGAUAUUCCAGACCUGCCUGGAUGCCUACCCGUGUGACCUGCUGUAGGGAACCUGCUUUAGGGGGAGAGUUGGACUCAAUGAUCUCCAGAGAUCUCUUCCAACUCCUGCAAUUCCACGAUUCUGUGAUAUACCCUUUCAUGCUGACACAACUUCAUUAAGGUAUUUGUCUGUUUGAGUACAAAGCUGCAGUCCACAGAAGAAAGCAACUGAUGUGUAAACAGACCCUUUUUUUAGGGUAUUUGACAGAAUGGAUCGAAUAUCUGAUUCGUGUAUCAUUUUAUGACUGAUUAGUUCAUUGAAAAGUGAUAGUAAAAAGGAUGUUUUAAGUGUAAGACUCCCACUUAUGGCAGAAUAAACAUGGCAUUUGUUGUGUGUAGAGCCAUACCUUCAUAUUU
rnacentral:lncRNA from 1 species